GGUCCAAUAGUCUAGUUGGUUAGGACGUCGGAUUCUGAUUCUGAAAUUUCCGUAAGCCCAGGUUCGAAUCCUGGUUGGACCU